rnacentral:rRNA from 1 species
AGUGAACGCUGGCGGUAGGCCUAACACAUGCCAGUCGAACGGCAGCACAGUAAGAGCUUGCUCUUACGGGUGGCGAGUGGCGGACGGGUGAGGAAUACAUCGGAAUCUACUUUUUCGUGGGGGAUAACGUAGGGAAACUUACGCUAAUACCGCAUACGACCUACGGGUGAAAGCAGGGGAUCUUCGGACCUUGCGCGAUUGAAUGAGCCGAUGUCGGAUUAGCUAGUUGGCGGGGUAAAGGCCCACCAAGGCGACGAUCCGUAGCUGGUCUGAGAGGAUGAUCAGCCACACUGGAACUGAGACACGGUCCAGACUCCUACGGGAGGCAGCAGUGGGGAAUAUUGGACAUUGGGCGCAAGCCUGAUCCAGCCAUACCGCGUGGGUGAAGAAGGCCUUCGGGUUGUAAAGCCCUUUUGUUGGGAAAGAAAAGCAGCAGGUUAAUACCCCGCUGUUCUGACGGUACCCAAAGAAUAAGCACCGGCUAACCUCGUG